rnacentral:rRNA from 1 species
ACGAACGCUGGCGGCGUGCUUAACACAUGCAAGUCGAACGGAAAGGCCCCUUCGGGGGUGCUCGAGUGGCGAACGGGUGAGUAACACGUGGGUGAUCUGCCCUGCACUUUGGGAUAAGCCUGGGAAACUGGGUCUAAUACCGGAUAGGACCAUGGCCUGCUUGGGUUGUGGUGGAAAGCUUUUGCGGUGUGGGAUGGGCCCGCGGCCUAUCAGCUUGUUGGUGGGGUGAUGGCCUACCAAGGCGACGACGGGUAGCCGGCCUGAGAGGGUGUCCGGCCACACUGGGACUGAGAUACGGCCCAGACUCCUACGGGAGGCAGCAGUGGGGAAUAUUGCACAAUGGGCGCAAGCCUGAUGCAGCGACGCCGCGUGAGGGAUGACGGCCUUCGGGUUGUAAACCUCUUUCACCAGGGACGAAGCGUAAGUGACGGUACCUGGAGAAGAAGCACCGGCCAACUACGU